rnacentral:rRNA from 1 species
CCUACGGGCGGCAGCAGUGGGGGAUAUUGCACAAUGGGGGAAACCCUGAUGCAGCGACGCCGCGUGAGUGAAGAAGUAUUUCGGUAUGUAAAGCUCUAUCAGCAGGGAAGAAAAUGACAGUACCUGACCAAGAAGCCCCGGCUAACUACGUGCCAGCAGCCGCGGUAAUACGUAGGGGGCAAGCGUUAUCCGGAUUUACUGGGUGUAAAGGGAGCGUAGACGGUGAUGUAAGUCUGGAGUGAAAGCCCGGGGCCCAACCCCGGGACUGCUUUGGAAACUGUGUAACUGGAGUGCAGGAGGGGCAGGCGGAAUGCCUGGUGUAGCGGUGAAAUGCGUAGAUAUCAGGAGGAACACCGGCUGCGAAGGCGGCCUGCUGGACUGAAACUGACGUUGAGGCUCGAAAGCGUGGGGAGCAAACAGGAUUAGAUACCCGUGUAGUC